rnacentral:rRNA from 1 species
GAAACCGCAUGGUUUUGAUUUGAAAGGCGCUUUCGGGUGUCGCUGAUGGAUGGACCCGCGGUGCAUUAGCUAGUUGGUGAGGUAACGGCUCACCAAGGCGACGAUGCAUAGCCGACCUGAGAGGGUGAUCGGCCACAUUGGGACUGAGACACGGCCCAAACUCCUACGGGAGGCAGCAGUAGGGAAUCUUCGGCAAUGGACGAAAGUCUGACCGAGCAACGCCGCGUGAGUGAAGAAGGUUUUCGGAUCGUAAAACUCUGUUGUUAGAGAAGAACAAGGAUGAGAGUAACUGUUCAUCCCUUGACGGUAUCUAACCAGAAAGCCACGGCUAACUACGUGCCAGCAGCCGCGGUAAUACGUAGGUGGCAAGCGUUGUCCGGAUUUAUUGGGCGUAAAGCGAGCGCAGGCGGUUUCUUAAGUCUGAUGUGAAAGCCCCCGGCUCAACCGGGGAGGGUCAUUGGAAACUGGGAGACUUGAGUGCAGAAGAGGAGAGUGGAAUUCCAUGUGUAGCGGUGAAAUGCGUAGAUAUAUGGAGGAACACCAGUGGCGAAGGCGGCUCUCUGGUCUGUAACUGACGCUGAGGCUCGAAAGCGUGGGGAGCAAACAGGAUUAGAUACCCUGGUAGUCCACGCCGUAAACGAUGAGUGCUAAGUGUUGGAGGGUUUCCGCCCUUCAGUGCUGCAGCUAACGCAUUAAGCACUCCGCCUGGGGAGUACGACCGCAAGGUUGAAACUCAAAGGAAUUGACGGGGGCCCGCACAAGCGGUGGAGCAUGUGGUUUAAUUCGAAGCAACGCGAAGAACCUUACCAGGUCUUGACAUCCUUUGACCACUCUAGAGAUAGAG